UACAGAGGUGUCAAACGUUGUCCGGAAUUACUGGGCGUAAAGGGCGCGUAGGCGGCCUUAUAAGUCAGAUGUGAAAGCUCCGGGCUCAACCCGGGAAUUGCAUCUGAUACUGUAAGGCUUGAGUUCGGUAGAGGAGGGCGGAAUUCCAGGUGUAGCGGUGAAAUGCGUAGAUAUCUGGAGGAACACCCGUGGCGAAGGCGGCUCUCUGGUCCGAAACUGACGCUGAGGUGCGAAAGCUAGGGUAGCAAACAGG
rnacentral:rRNA from 1 species